GAUGAACGCUAGCUACAGGCUUAACACAUGCAAGUCGAGCGACCGGCGCACGGGUGAGUAACACGUAUCCAACCUGCCCUUUACUCUGGGAUAGCCUUUCGACAGAAAGAUUAAUACCCGAUAUAAAGGAUGGGGGUGCGUUCCUUUGGGUUGUUGGUGAGGUAACGGCUCACCAAGCCCUCGAUGGAUAGGGGUUCUGAGAGGAAGGUCCCCCACAUUGGAACUUAGACACCGACCAAACUCGUACGGGAUGCAGGAGUGAGGAAUAUUGGUCAAUGGGCUCUAGCCUGAACCAGCCAAGUAGCGUGAAGGGUGAAGGGUUAUGGAUCGUAAGCUUCUUUAAUAUAAGAAUAUGUAUUAUAUGAAUAAGGAUCGGCUAACUCCGUGCCAGCAGCCGCGGUAAUAC
rnacentral:rRNA from 1 species